rnacentral:lncRNA from 10 species
UGGGGUGGAAGUGUCCUCAGUCCAGGGAGAUGAUGCUGACCUUUGGGCUGGGACAGCCCGGAGCUGGGACUUACUGACCCCUGCCUGGUCAGGUCAGAUAGCGAGGCAGACCCCUCUCUCUGCUCUGCCCAGUGGCCUUUGCUGUGUCACUGGGAGAGGUUGAAACAGGCAUCGCAAAGCAGCAGGGUAAAGGUGAGCUGUUACCUGCCACCUGCCUGAGCUUGGACAGCUGUUCACAGUAAAGACGGUGGCAGGCAGACCUGGUUCAAAUGCAAGACCUGCUGCUCUUAGCAGUGUGACCUUGAGCACACUCUUGCAUGUCUCUGGGCCUCCAUUUCUUCAUCUGUAAAGUGCAGACAACCCAUGAUUCCAGUCUUGGAGGGUGUUGGGAGCAUGAAAAGACUCAGGGGUGGCUGCAGCAAGGAACUCGGAACCCUCUAGGUGCUUUACUCUUCCUCACACCCCACAUCUGAUGGAGGAAUAAGACUUGCCAUUUCUGCCACCUAAACUUUGAAGUGUGAAUCCUGCCUGGCACCCAGGAAGCGCCCGGAACAUGCUGUGUCCUGAUGAAGCCAUUGUUUGGGUCCUGCUGUCCUUUGCAAUUGACCAUAUCACAGCCAAUCUGUUCCUUGCUCUGCAGAGAGAGGGACCUUCCUAACGUGAAAAUCCCUUCACUACAUCGCUCCCCUGCUCCAAAGCCUGUUGUGGCUCCUCAGUGCCCUCCGGACAAGAAUUUCAUGCUCCUCCGCAUGUCCCCUGAGGACCCCUGGUCUGGGCCCAGCUAACCCUGCCAGCCUGGUGGCUGCCCCCUUUACCACGCUCCAGCCUUGCGGAUCUUUCUUCAGUUCCUUAAGUGUGCCAAGCUCGCUCCUGCCCCAGGGCCUUUGUCCUUGCUGUGUCCUCUGCCUGGAACCUUCUGCCCCUGGCUCCUUUUUCACGACUCCACUUAAAUGUCACCUCCCCAGGGGAACCGCUUCAUCUAAAUUAGGUCCCCGGCCUGCUGUUUGCCCUCUCUCUGAAGCUUGUCAGUUUCCUUCAUGACACAGAUCACAAUUUGUCAUCAUGUUAUUGAUGUGGGUUUACUGGAUUGUGGCUCUCUCCAUUGUGACUGUGAGCUCUGGAGAGCAGGGCUGGGGCUAUUUUGCUUCCCAAGGUGGCCCCAGUGAACUGGUGCCCGAGUAGCCUCCUCAGGGACCUUUCUUGAAGGACCAGAUGGCUGGCUGCUCUAGCCACUGCCAGGGAGGCACUGGGGGCUGGGGCGGCUGGGGCAGAGGCGUGCACUGGGCUGGGGGCUGUGUGGCUCACAUGGGAGAGGGCCGGACACCUGGCUUCAUGUCCUCCUUCCCGGCUGCCUGCCAACUCCAGGGUCCCCCCAGGGAUGUUUUCCUGACUCUCCCUAAUGGCCUGACAUACAAGGUCCCGAUGACAAACCUCCCUCUGAUAAAAGAUGCAAAACUAACAUCUGGCGGUUAAUUAAUAAAGAGCAGCGGUGUCUGGCUGGGGCAUGUGGUGUGCUGACGCUGGCAUUUUCUUGGCCCGCCCCAAGAGAUGCUGAUGUUGUCUGCAAAAAUGGGGGGAAAAGAUCCAUUUGGAGCGGGCCCUGCUGACGAGGCUCCUGAGGGGCAGGAUAGCCACUUGUCCCCACUUUGGGGGUGUAUGCUGAUGCUUGGUCCUCC